GAUGAACGCUGGCGGCGUGCCUAAUACAUGCAAGUCGAGCGAACGGACGAGAAGCUUGCUUCUCUGAUGUUAGCGGCGGACGGGUGAGUAACACGUGGAUAACCUACCUAUAAGACUGGGAUAACUUCGGGAAACCGGAGCUAAUACCGGAUAAUAUUUUGAACCGCAUGGUUCAAAAGUGAAAGACGGUCUUGCUGUCACUUAUAGGUGGAUCCGCGCUGCAUUAGCUAGUUGGUAAGGUAACGGCUUACCAAGGCAACGAUGCAUAGCCGACCUGAGAGGGUGAUCGGCCACACUGGAACUGAGACACGGUCCAGACUCCUACGGGAGGCAGCAGUAGGGAAUCUUCCGCAAUGGGCGAAAGCCUGACGGAGCAACGCCGAGUGAGUGAUGAAGGUCUUCGGAUCGUAAAACUCUGUUAUUAGGGAAGAACAUAUGUGUAAGUAACUGUGCACAUCUUGACGGUACCUAAUCAGAAAGCCACGGCUAACUACGUG
rnacentral:rRNA from 1 species